UUGAAACUCCAUUUCCUAUAUGAUCACCAAAGUUAACCAAUGUCAAGCCUGGUCAGUACCUGGAUGGGUGACUGCUUGAGAAUACCAGGUGCUGCAA